UCUGGGAUUAGAUACCCUGUUAUUUAAAAUGUAAAUUUUUUAUUUAGGUAGUAAUAGUUAUGUUCUUGAAACUUAAAAAAUUUGGCGGUAUUUUAGUCUAUUCAGAGGAACCUGUUCUGUAAUUGAUAAUCCACGUUGGACCUUACUUAAAUUUGUUUAGCAAUUUAUAUACCGUUGUUAUUAAAAUAUUUUUGAGAAUAAUAAUAUUUAAUAAUUUUUAUAAAAAUUUAUAUCAAAUCAAGGUGUAGUUUAUGUUUAAGUAGAAAUGGGUUACAAUAAAAUUAUUUUAUGGAUAUAAAUAUGAAAAAUUUAUUGAAAUUGGAUUUGAUUGUAAAAUUAUAAAGAUUAAUAAUUUGAUUUUAGCUCUAAAAUAUGUACAAAUCGCCCG
rnacentral:rRNA from 1 species